GCAUUGGUGGUCCAGUGGUAGGACUCUCACCUUCUACGUGGGAGGCCUGGGUUCGAUUCCCAACCAAAGCA
rfam:Loxodonta africana unplaced genomic scaffold scaffold_22, whole genome shotgun sequence.